AGGCCUAACACAUGCAAGCCGAGGGGUAGUCUCUUUCGGGAGAACACGACCGGCGCACGGGUGAGUAACGCGUAUGCAACCUACCUUUGGCAUGGGGACAGCCCGGGGAAACCCGGAUUAAUACCCGGUAUAGUCUGUUAUACACCUGUAUAAAAGACGAGAGCUACGGCGGCCAAAGAUGGGCAUGCGUGCCAUUAGUUAGUUGGUAGGGUAACGGCCUACCAAGGCAUCGAUGGCUACGGGGUCUAAAAGGAUGAGCCCGCACACUGGUACUGAGACACGGACCAGACUCCUACGGGAGGCAGCAGUGAGGAAUAUUGGUCAAUGGGUGGAAGCCUGAACCAGCCAUGCCGCGUGCAGGAAGACGGCCUUAUGGGUUGUAAACUGCUUUUCUACGGGACGAACGGCUCUGACGCGUCAGGGAUUGACGGUACCGUAGGAAUAAGCAUCGGCUAACUCCGUGCCAGCAGCCGCGGUAAUACGGAGGAUGCGAGCGUUAUCCGGAUUUAUUAGGUUUAAAGGGUGCGUAGGCUGGGCAAUAAGUCAGUGGUGAAAGUCCGGGGCUCAACCGUGGGAUUGCCAUUGAAACUGUUGUUCUUGAGUACAGUCGAGGUAGGCGGAAUGUGUAAUGUAGCGGUGAAAUGCAUAGAUAUUACCCAGAACACCGAUUGCGUAGGCAGCUUACCAGCCUGGAACUGACGCUGAUGCACGAAAGCGUGGGGAGCGAACAGGAUUAGAUAUCCUGGUA
rnacentral:rRNA from 1 species